AUUAAACGCUGGCGGCAUGCCUUACACAUGCAAGUCGAACGGCAGCACGGGGGCAACCCUGGUGGCGAGUGGCGAACGGGUGAGUAAAGCAUCGGAACGUGCCCUGGAGUGGGGGAUAACGUAGCGAAAGUUACGCUAAUACCGCAUAUUCUGUGAGCAGGAAAGCAGGGGAUCGCAAGACCUUGCGCUCUGGGAGCGGCCGAUGUCGGAUUAGCUAGUUGGUGGGGUAAAGCCUACCAAGGCGACGAUCCGUAGCGGGUCUGAGAGGAUGAUCCGCCACACUGGGACUGAGACACGGCCCAGACUCCUACGGGAGGCAGCAGUGGGGAAUUUUGGACAAUGGGCGCAAGCCUGAUCCAGCCAUGCCGCGUGAGUGAAGAAGGCCUUCGGGUUGUAAAG
rnacentral:rRNA from 1 species